UGGGGCCUUGAGAGACAAGGGCAGGACCCGAAGAAUGAAGACACAUCUGUCAGCAGAAACCACAACAGUAAAGAUAAACAGCCUGCCUAGGGACAGCGAUGAGACCCAAUAAGGAGCAUGAGACCCCAGACCUAAAAAUUACUAUUGAUCCAAACUACCGCAUGAGGGGUAGAGAGCUUAGAUUGGAAAGUUAUAAAUGCCCAGGGAUUUCUUUGUUCGGGGUCCCUCUUUGGAGGUACCCAGCCUGAGCUGUAAUUACUGCACGCGCUCUCUGACGGCAGGGGGAAGGAAGGAGCCCGGUGGAGCAGCCGCCUCCGUGCGAAACUCUGCACUCCUCAUGGCUGGGCCAUGGCCACUGCCACUGCUGCCGGGGGGGGACCCCACUGCCGCCAAGUUCGGCGACACCAUCCGCAGCCAGUCCGCUUGCAAUGUUUGGAGAUCUCAAACAGAGUCAGCGGAACAUCAUCUGACUCGCAGUGGUGGUAGCUAGUUUCUUCUCUUCUUUUCCAACUUUCUCUAUCCUUUCCCCUUACCCUUGUUCCCCUCUCCCCUUCGCCUCCCCUCUGCCUUUCCCCACCUUUUCUCCCCACUUCGUGGAAAAUAAAGUUGAAAGGUUGUACGAUAUUUGACCAGUUUUAGCGUCUUAAUCUCAUCCUUGGGAUUGUAACGAAACCCUCCCGAUAUUGGAUCGGGACGGAUGGUUGUCAACUUAGAACCCAGAGGGACAUGGAAGAGUGAAAAUAGCACCAGAGAAGAGGGAUCAGAUACCUCAGGAGCAAUACCAGGAAAAGCUGCCUGAUUGGAUUUUACCGUUGUGCCUGAGUACUGACGUGGUGGGACUACUUCUAAAGACAGACUACAUUUUUCCCCAGUUUCAUGUCUUAUUCAGUCAUCUCAAACUUUGUCAGCAUUCAGGGCACCAAAACUAUUUUCAGUCUUGUAGGCUGGAAUAAAAUGGAGUCCAAGACACAUUUCAAGGGCCCUGGUCUUCAUGGGGGACUUUAACCACCCCAACAUCUGCUGGAGGGGCAACAAGAAAUCCAGGACAUUUCUGGUGUGCCUUGAUAAUAAUUGUCUGACAGAGAUGGUUGAGGAGAGGCACUUUGCUGAACCUGAUCCUUACAAACAAGAAAGGACAGGGAUGUGAAGGUGAGGACAAUCUUGACCGCAGUGACUGUGAGAUGGAGGAGUUCAGCAUCCUGAAAGGAGGCAACAAGGCAAAUAGCAGGAUCACGACCCUGGACUUAGGAGAGAUGACUCUGGCCUGCUGAGGAACCUGCUUGGAAGACCCCCAUGGAAGGUGGUCCUUGAGAGAAGGGAGGUUAAGGACACUUCAAGAAAAGGCAGCAGUAGGCCUGCAUGGAUGAACAAGGAACUGCUGAAAAAACUCAUACAUAAAAAGGAAGCAUAUAAGAAGUAGAAGUAAGGUCAGGUAACCUAUGAGGAACAAAAAGACACUGUCCAAGCAUGCAGGGAUGUUCAGGAUAGGAAAGACAACCUGAGCUGAAUCUGGAGAGUGACAUGAAAGGCAACAAAAAAGGCUUCUGCAAGUACAUCAGCAGCAAAAGGAAGACUGGGGAAAAUGUGGGCCCACUGGUGAAUGAAGCAGGGGACCUGCUGCCAAAGGACAUGAAAAAAGGCCAGAGUACCCCAUGCCCUCUUCACGUUGGUCUUUUCUGGUAAUAUUUGCCUUCAGAAAUUCCAGACCCUGAAAACGCAUGGGAAAGUCCGGAGCAAAGACCAGCAGGAGGGUUCAGGUGGACCAGGUGAUCUCCAGAGGUCCCUUCCAACCUCAACCAUUCUGUGAUU